rnacentral:miRNA from 1 species
ACGAGUUGUGUGUGAGCAUACAUACACAUGUAUAUACACACACAUACUCACACACGUACACACACAU